UUUCAGCAACUACCGUGUAACCGCACACUUUCGCGUUUGUAAACGUGUUUACUUAAACAUGUUCACCUGAAGUAGUUCAGGGUCCCGUGUAACCGCGCCCUUAGUUUACUAAACAAAUACGUUUUGCGGCAAAAGUAUUAUUGUGAAACAACAAGAAUAUCGCGAAUAGUAAUGAACUUCGCGACAUCACCAGUUAUUUCGUGAAAAUAAAAUGCUGUAAAUUCAAAAUAGGUGUUUGGAAACACAUUUCAUAUGGGUGCACGAACAGGAGUGCAAGGAAGGAGGCCGAACAGCUGGAAGAGGAAAAACAGAAGAAAAUAACUUUUCACAAGUUUCCGAAAGACUUUGAGAAGCGACAGCAGUGGAUAAAAGCUGUGCAAAGGGAAAACUGGGAACCGUCAGCUAGGAGUGUUUUAUGCUCUUCUCACUUUGCUGACGAGUGUUUCGACAGGACAUCUCUGUGCUAUGUGAGACUAUGGGAGAAUGCUCUUCCAAAUAUAUAUACAACUUUACUUGUAUCACUUUAUAAGCAGUAAUAGUAGUUGAAAUAUUACUCCACCCAGGGCUAACCACAUCAAGUUUUGUGAUCAAUUUUUUUUUGUUUUUGUCGAUUAUAUAUGUUCAUGUAUGUGAUAUAACAUUAAAUUAAUAACACCACAAAAUAAAUAAAUAAAUUUAUAACUAUGUAAUUCACUUAAAAUAUCUCUCUUGUGGUCAGUGUUAUGUGUAUGUUUUGUUAAAAUGGUAUCGAAUGUGCCACAGUUUUGACUACUAAUUGCAUUGUUUCAAACAGAGAGUAUAUAAUGUGGCAAGCUACUGAUGAUUUGUUUUGUUUCUGUCUUUUGUUUUUGGGCUUUAAAGUGAAGGAAAUAUAUCGCAGCAUAAAUAUAAGUUUUGGCUCAGGUUUUUGUAUAAGUGCCAAAAUAUAAAAAGGAAUUCAAAUAUGCAAGACACAUUUUGUUUUAGGUGCCAUGAAGUGUCAAAGGGUUUUCAGUUAAUUUAAUUUUGUGAAUACCUUUUGGUUACAGAUGAACUAAAGAUACUGACUAAAACCUUCCAAGAGAUUAUUGUUUAGAUGUGGCAUAUUAUAGCUCUCUACCUGAUGUUAUUAAGUUUUUUGUGUAUUUAGUUACUGUCUCUUGGCCAUAAAGAGCUAUUUCUGAUGAGUAAUUGCACAGGAGUUUCUUUCA